UACGAGGGGUGCAAGCGUUGCUCGGAAUUAUUGGGCGUAAAGGGUAGGUAGGUGGUCUCAUUUGUCUGGGGUGAAAGCCUUGGGCUUAACUCAAGAAGUGCCCCGGAAACGGUGAGACUGGAGUCCUGCAGAGGAGACUGGAAUUCCCGGUGUAGCGGUGAAAUGUGUAGAGAUCGGGAGGAACACCGGUGGCGAAGGCGGGUCUCUGGGCAUUUCCUGACGCUGAGGCGCGAAAGCGUGGGGAGCAAACGGG
rnacentral:rRNA from 1 species